UUUCUCGGCCAUGACAUUAGAGUGCAUCGGCAGUUCUACAGACUUCCUGAGGGCACCCUCCAACUUGCUAAAAUUAGCAAAGUUCUCAUGGCUCUGGACCAAGGACGCCUGGCAGAAUUCAAGGGCAAGACCCUGGAUGAAAUCAACAUUGAUCCUGAGGAGAAUGUGCAGAUGGACAGUGACACUGAGGUGGCGUGUGAGUCAGAUUCACAAGAGAGUCGGGUCACAUCCAGUCAGAGGGAAGAGAAAG